AACAGAUGCCCGAGCUAGCUGAUAUCAUCUUUGAUCGUGAUCAAGAUUGUCAUGUACCCUUUCUGUUAGGGAAGAGACCGAGAGUGGACACACAUGAACUGAUGAAGCAUUUUCCCAUGGUGGUGAGCCCUAUGAUUGCAUCUCUGUCUUAGGAGCAGAGAAACCAAGAAUGGCCACUCUUGGGUGACUUGAGCGUUUUCCAUGGACAGAAGUUCUCUGGUUGCAUCUAUGCAUUGAAAGCAUGGAGACAAAUAACAGACACACUCAAGCUGAUUUCGGCAUCUUCCAUGGUCACGAGCUCUCUGGUUGCUUCUAUGUUGUAGAAGCAUGGAGACCAAUAAUGACCCACUUGGGCUGAUGAAGCAUUUUCCCACGGUGGCGAGUUCUGUAAUUGCCAUCUCUGUGUUAGGAGCAGAGACCAACAGUGAACGCACUUGAACUGAUUUUAGCAUUUUCCAUGGUCAUGGGCUCUCUGGUUGCAUCUAUGCAUUAAGAACAUGGAGACCAAUCUUCUGCUGUCAUCAAGAUUGUCAUGCUCCCUCUGUGUAUGGAAAGAGACCAAGGCGAGUAGUG